UCUCCUGGAAACGGGUGGUAAUGCCGGAUGCUCCAUCACACCGCAUGGUGUGUUGGGAAAGCCUUUGCGGCAUGGGAUGGGGUCGCGUCCUAUCAGCUUGAUGGCGGGGUAACGGCCCACCAUGGCUUCGACGGGUAGCCGGCCUGAGAGGGCGACCGGCCACAUUGGGACUGAGAUACGGCCCAGACUCCUACGGGAGGCAGCAGUGGGGAAUAUUGCACAAUGGGCGCAAGCCUGAUGCAGCGACGCCGCGUGAGGGAUGGAGGCCUUCGGGUUGUAAACCUCUUUUGUUAGGGAGCAAGGCAUUUUGUGUUGAGUGUACCUUUCGAAUAAGCACCGGCUAACUACGUGCCAGCAGCCGCGGUAAUACGUAGGGUGCAAGCGUUAUCCGGAAUUAUUGGGCGUAAAGGGCUCGUAGGCGGUUCGUCGCGUCCGGUGUGAAAGUCCAUCGCUUAACGGUGGAUCCGCGCCGGGUACGGGCGGGCUUGAGUGCGGUAGGGGAGACUGGAAUUCCCGGUGUAACGGUGGAAUGUGUAGAUAUCGGGAAGAACAC
rnacentral:rRNA from 1 species